ACUACGAGCCAAGCUUAAAACCCAAAGGACUUGACGGUGUUCCAUACCCAACUAGAGGAGCCUGUCCUAUAAUUGAUAAUCCCCGCUUAACCUCACCACCCCUAGCCAAUCAGCUUGUAUACUUCCGUCGUCAGCUUACCACGUGAGCGAACUUCAGUAAGCACAAUGGUUCAUCACCAAUACGUCAGGUCAAAGUGCAGCAUAUGGGGCGGGAAGAGAUGGGCUACACUCUCUAAUGUAGAAUAAACGUAAGGUCUAAACGAAAUUUGGGCCUAAAGGCGGAUUUAGCAGUAAAAAGAAAGUAGAGUGUUCUUUUUAACUAGGCACUGGAACGUGUAC
rnacentral:rRNA from 1 species